GGCGACGGAGCAAGAGUCUGUCUCAAAAAAAUAAAAAAUAAAAAAUAGUUACACAAUUUUAAAACAACAUUUGAGUAAACCCAGCAUCAUUUUUGAGAUACUCUAAGAUAUUUCUUGGCCUACUUGUGUGUGCUGCUUAAACUGAAACAAGCCCUAGUAUUCUCUGAAGUAGCAUGUGUUCAAUAGAUAUCCAAUAAUUUCAAGUUAGGUUGAAUGACCUUUUACCAUCCACUUGGGGACUCCUCUUGCCUAUAUGGUAUCUAUGCAUAUUAGAAAAGGUGCUUCUUCAUCCUGGAGAUGCGGCCCCACAGUAAGGCACAGGUGUGGCAAGUGGAGCUGGAUUCCUCUCAGCUCAUCUCCUUGGCUAUUCAUGGCACAGUAUGUACAACUGUAGGAUAUGGCCCUGUAAACAAACUCCACCCUUUCUCUCUUCCACCAGGCUUCCACUGUUUGCAACAUCUUUCCUGGCUGGUGGAAGAAAGGCUCAAUGGAUGGUCCUAAUCUCCAAUGGGGCAACAAUAUUGCCCACCCCACAGGCUCUUUUGGAACUUUGCUACUCUAAAGCUGAAAAAUUCUGGAUUAUCCUCCAAGAUGUAACUAAACCAUCAGCUUCUGUGGAAAUACUUCCCCAGCUUCCCCAAGCAACAAGGCCAUCCCUUUUCUGUGCAUAUUUAAUAAAUAAUUUGUUUGCCUGUUGGA